UGCCAGACUCCUACGGGAGGCAGCAGUGGGGAAUAUUGCACAAUGGGGGAAACCCUGAUGCAGCGACGCCGCGUGAGUGAAGAAGUAUUUCGGUAUGUAAAGCUCUAUCAGCAGGGAAGAAGAAGGACGGUACCUGAGUAAGAAGCCCCGACUAACUACGUGCCAGCAGCCGCGGUAAUACGUAGGGGGCAAGCGUUAUCCGGAUUUACUGGGUGUAAAGGGAGCGUAGACGGCGAAGAAAGUCUGAAGUGAAAGCCCGCGGCUCAACCGCGGAAUGGCUUUGGAAACUUUUUUGCUGGAGUACCGGAGAGGUAAGCGGAAUUCCUAGUGUAGCGGUGAAAUGCGUAGAUAUUAGGAGGAACACCAGUGGCGAAGGCGACUUUCUGGACUGUACCUGACGCUGAGGCGCGAAAGCGUGGGUAGCGAACGGGAUUAGAUACCCCAGUA
rnacentral:rRNA from 1 species